AGUGAACGCUGGCGGCGUGCCUAAUACAUGCCAGUCGAACGGAGUGACGCACGGGUGAGUAAUGUAUAGAUAAUCUGCCCUCCACUAGAGGACAACAGUUGGUAACGGCUGCUAAUAAUCUAUAGUGUAGGAUGAGGCUAUAUUGUAUCAGUUAGUUGGUGAGGUAAUGGCUCACCAAGGCUAUGACGCAUAACUGGUCUGAGAGGAUGAUCAGUCACACUGGAACUGAGACACGGUCCAGACUCCUACGGGAGGCAGCAGUAGGGAAGAUUGCUCAAUGGGGGAAACCCUGAAGCAGCAACGCCGCGUGGAGGAUGACACUUUUCGGAGCGUAAACUCCUUUUGUUAGGGAAGCGGUACCUAACGAAUAAGCACCGGCUAACUCCGUGCCAGCCGCCGCGGUAAUUC
rnacentral:rRNA from 1 species